rnacentral:rRNA from 1 species
UACAGAGGGGGCAAGCGUUAUUCGGAAUUAUUGGGCGUAAAGGGCGCGUAGGCGGCCUGGCAAGUGGAAGGUGAAAUCCCGUCGCUAACCGAGGAACUGCCCUCCAAACUGCUUGGCUUGAGUCCGGGAGAGGUGAGUGGAAUUCCCAGUGUAGCGGUGAAAUGCGUAGAUAUCGGGAGGAACACCAAUGGCGAAGGCAGCUCGCUGGGACGGUACUGACGCUGAGACGCGAAAGCGUGGGGAGCAAACAGGG